CUAAAGUGCCGGUGCCGCCCAUGCGAUUUCAAGUUUGUUUUUGUUUCAAGAUUUUUGGACGAUAGAAAUUCCUGAGAAGAAAAUGUAACGUUUAUUUGGGCUAUAUAGAGAUAUUUCCAGACUUCAGACUUCAACUUGACUUCCAAAAUUUAAGCAGACCGGAUGUUGAUGACAAGGGUGCGCAGAACCGCCUCCAGGCUGCCGCCCCCGCACAAGCCGCAGGGCGUCCUGGUCGAGGUGGACGGCGACAACGGCCGGCCCCUGAGCUGCUCAGGGCUGCGAUGGGGGCGGCUGGUGCUCACCCACGGCUCCCUGCUGCCCCCUGGAAAGGCCCCCGCCGCCCCCGGGGGCCGUCUCGCCCCCACAGGGUCUCCUGAUUUGCGCUCAAGAAUCGUCGGCGAGGACGGCCGGCUGGGCGGCCGCGUCGUGGCCGCCUGGCGCUGCCCCCUGCUGGACGCCACGGCCGCCGAGUUGGCCUCCAAGGGGUGGAACUUCCCCAACGCCGACCUCGCCCUCUUCCUAGUCAUCCAAGUUGAUGACCCUUUUCAGCCAGACCUGACCCUAGAUGAGGUCAGGGCAGAAUUGCAGACGCUGCUGAGCGAGUGGGUGACGGCGCCGGUGACUGGACAGGCGGUUCUCCUUGAGGCCACCCCCUUUGGCGCCGGACACUUUUUCCUCAAUACUUGGACCAAAGGCAUUAUAAACAAAGUGACUGGCCAAGGGCAAAGCAUUAUUUUGUGUGAUUCCCACGCCGCCCCUGGAAGCGAGGGUGGUGCCCUUUACUCCGUUGGCACAGAGGGUCGCAAGGUGCUCUUAGGCCUGGUCGUGCAGACCAUCUUCAAGGUCAGGGGCGAGGCCGUUUCAUUGUGCAUGGCCGCUUCCCUUCAAACAGUUCUCUCCACGGCACUUGGAAUUCUCACAGAAAACAUCACCAAACCUCUUCCUUCCGAUUCACCAGAAGUCGCCUCCAGAGGAGUGGCGCUUUUGAGGCACGGAGGUGCGUGGGCUUCGGCCGUCGCCCUGGACUCGGCCAAAGGCAUUUACCUCACUUGUGCCCAUGUGCUUCAGGCUGAUUCCAAAAACUCUGUGCUGCUGCAGUGGACAAAUGGCUCUGGUCCUGUUGCGGCCUCAAUUUUAUACCUCAGUCCGUCGUCUUCAGCCUUCGACGUGGCCCUGCUAAAGACGGCCGCUGCGCCGGGACCAAAAGUGGCGCCGAAAAUUUCCCGCCGACUUCCAACUAAAGGUGAAAUAGUUGAGGUGAUUGGAUACGGCCUUUUGUCGCCACCAGGACCGGAAAAGACCUUACAUGGCCCUUUGGUGUCCCGCGGCUGUAUUUCGCAGGUGUGGCCUCACAUGCUGCAGACCAGUUGCGCCGUCCACUGCGGCAACAGUGGUGGUGCCGUUCUGCAGGGCCAAGAACUGGUAGGCCUUGUCGUAGGACACACGGAGGUCACCUACACUGAUCCUGAGCUGCCCAAAAACUGGCCCCGUAUCAACUUUGCUGUCCCCCUGGCUGCAAUUGCCAAUCCCAUCGAGCGUUUCCUCAAAACGGGUGAUGAAAAGUAUUUGGAUGCACUUGGAAACUUUGACAAGGAAGCAACGCGCCUUUGGCAGCUAAACCCCAUUCCAAAAAGCAAAUUGUGAAAGAUUUUCUAGGACUUUGAUAUUAAGCUGUGAUAUAAAAAAUACUUGAUGAGCUACUGGUCGAAGGAUUUUAUCAUUUUUUUUUGUUUCCCUGUGGAAAAAAAUCACGUGAUGGCAGCACCAGCACCAAAUUUAAUAGACGAAGGGGGCGUGGCAUUUUUUUGCACAAAAACAAGAAGAAUUGAAGAAAAGAGUUUUGCAGAUUUAUUUUACAAUAAUGGCAAGCCCAGC